rnacentral:rRNA from 1 species
UACGGAAGGCAGCAGUGGGGAAUAUUGCACAAUGGGCGAAAGCCUGAUGCAGCUAUGCCGCGUGUAUGAAGAAGGCCUUAGGGUUGUAAAGUACUUUCAUCGGGGAGGAAAAACAAAACUAAUAAUUUUAUUUCUUGACGUUACCCGAAAAAGAAGCACCGGCUAACUCCGUGCCAGCAGCCGCGGUAAUACGGAGGGUGCUAGCGUUAAUCAGAAUUACUGGGCGUAAAGAGCACGUAGGUGGUUUUUUUAAGUCAGAUGUGAAAUCCCUGGGCUUAACCUAGGAACUGCAUUUUGAAACUGAAAUACUAGAGUAUCGUAGAGGGAGGUAGAAUUCUAGGUGUAGCGGUGAAAUGCGUAGAUAUCUGGAGGAAUACCUGUGGCGAAAGUCGGCCUCCUAAACGAAUACUGACACUGAGGUGCGAAAGCGUGGGGAGCAAACAGGGAUUAGAUACC